UCAGCCAGAUAACACCUCCCCUGUUUUCUCUUCCCCACGAAGCAACCUCUGCUCCUCUCCUCGUUUCUCACCUCCGCCUCUUCCUCCGGGGGCGGCUGCAGAGGGAUGGGGGCCAAGGGGGCAAGCAGGAUGGGUGGCCGGUUGAUUUCUUUGCCGGAUCUCCCAGCUAGGGUUGCCGCCGCCGCCGCCCUCACCCGCGCUCGUGCCCUCUUCAACUCCGGCUGCGAGCUCCACCCCCUCCAGCGGUCCAGCCUUCGGAGCACACGGGUGCGGAUCAAAGGCAGUGGUGGACGGGCUUGUGAAGGAGCCGCAGGAGGCGCUGGACGAGGACAUCCAGGCCGCAUCAUGAAGGAGCGGGAGAUGCAGAGCUACAUCAGGACCGCGAGCGCGAGGUCGCCGGGUUAGUCCUCGUCAAUUUGGAAUCUACAGGACUUUCCACAAGUUCUGCUGUUAAGAAGCAAAAAGCCCGAUUGGAGUAGAGGAAUUAGUUUUUGCAAUAAGCGUGAUUGGAGUAGAUGAUUUUUGUGUAUGCAAGGCAAGGCAAGGCAAGCCAAUAGGCAGAGCUCCCAUCUAGCCAGGGGAAGGAGACGCACGCAUCAUCACAGUUGGGGACGGGGUGUAUCAACAAACGCAUGAUCAACUCGCACCUAGCCGAAAGCACACGAAGGUAGCAGGUCACACCAGCCCGUACACAAGGUGCCGGGCUUGCUGUAGUCUUGACAAAGGCAUGUACGUGGAGAUCGGCUUGGUUGAUAGCUACUGUUGUCUCAACAGAUCUCUCUUAACUGGGUGGUAGCCUUUGAUUAUCAGUCUAUGACAAAAGUUCACGACAAGCUACUGAAGAAAUCAAUCGACCUUCCUCUGUUGGCUAGCUUUGGCUAGAUUUGCAUGUGUUCUUGCUCAUGGAGAAAUUGAUCUAGGGCUAUAAAACAAACAUAUAUAGUGUGGAAGUACACGAAUAAACACUUGCGAUUGGAACAAGGAAGGUGCUGGCCACAAGGUUGAUGAACGAGAAUACAGAGAUUUCUUGACUGGUUGAAUUCAUCUUGAUUUCCUAAAGUGAACCAGAAUAGUGCAUCUUUUGGCAGUGCUUUAGAAUACUUAAACAGAGAUAGUUAUUACCUUCAAGAUGUACUGUUGAGUUGUGGGAUUUGUAACCUGUUAAGUUGUACAGAUUUGACAUGCAAACUACUCAAAACUUGGUUAUAGCUCUGUAUAUCAUGGAUCCUUGGCAACUAUAUGUGCUUUUUGUUCACGUUGUGUUGAUUUAUACUAGGAUUUUGUUCAGGUUGUAUUACAUUGAUUGUAAGUCAGAAAUGUACUAAGUAGUUACAUCGCAAUAAGCAUGGGCUUAUUGGUUUUCAUUCUACCUUCUCAAUAUUUGUUACUGUUAACAGUACCACCAUAAUCAGGGCGUCAUGGAUAUCACCAGCGCGGCGUGCCGCUAUAGCUGACAGAAAGUGUGCUUUCUCAGCAUGAAGAUAAUAGAAUGGGAAGGUAUGAUCUUCAUGGGCCUUAGUGGUACUAUCAUAUUAUGACAACUGCUGCAAAGUUCAUAUAAUGAUCCUUGUUUCAGACUCAGAUCAAAGGAACAAGCUGAUCAAUAGGUUUCAGCCAUGGCUAUCCUCUCUUGCAAUUUUGUGAUGUCAGGUUUUAGCCACAUUUUUUUCGAUUAUUUUCUCAGAAUUCUCAUAAGCAUCCUCCUUGAAUAUGUAGGAAUAUUGCGUCAAGAAGAACGAUCGGGUAGAGCUUAUCACGGCAAGCUACAGGUCGUACCUAGCAGACAAGCAUUGUCUCAUGAAAGUUUACUUUUUGUAGAUGUACAAAUUGAUGUAGAAAAGGUGAAUUUAAUUUCAUCUAUACAUGACCAAUUGCUUGCUGUACAUUUGACUAAAUAAAGCAAUAAAUCAGACCAUAAGUAAAGUACUUAAUAAUUAAGUGGAUAGUGUAUGUCUGGUGAACCUAGAUAUAUGUAUGGACAAUAAAGAGACAAGGUAUUUCAAAAAUUAUUUUCAUGCUUAUAUACACAACAACUAUAGCAUAAAUACGGUUGAAGCUUUACUGCAAUAUUAAGCUGUAACAUAUAUGUGUGGUGAAUCAAGAUUGAGCACCUCAUUAUUUUUCUUAGAUUAGGACGAUGCAAUUUCUUUAAUCCAUUGAGUUCCUUGUAUUGCAUAUUGUAAAAAUUAUUUUUCAUGCAUAUAUAUACGACAACUGCAGUGUAAAUAUGGUUGAAGCUAUGUGCUGUCAUAUUAAAUUCUAACAUAUAUGUGUGGUAAAUAUAGAUUGAGCAUCCCAUUCAUUUGCGGGAUACGUUCUCCUUAGUCCAUUGAGUUACCUCUAUUGCAUAUUUUAAAAAUGGCUUCUUUACUCGGCUAGAUCAUUUGAACAUGCCAAGUCCAGUGAUGGUAGCUUUACUCAGUCUGAAUAUUGCUAUAGCUUAGUAGGUUCUUCCAAGAAUUUCUUUUGUGUUGCCUCUCUUUCGAGACACGCACGCACGCGCGCGCGCGUUCCGUGGUUAAUUUUGUAGAGGGUAAAAAGUUGAGGACUUAUUGUUGUCUAAUUGUUGACGGAAGUGCUCGAUUGUCUUGUAAGCUAGAAUUCUUAUGGUUCCUUUCUUACUGGGCUUGUUUUGUUUUAUUUUCGAAAACCCCGUGAUUUUAUCGUAAUCCCAAAUUGCCGAGGUGGAUAAGAAUAAGGAGAAUCCAAGCCUAAUUCUUAUAUAGUUGUAAUGCACCAUAUAUACAUUGAAGUAGUAUUUAUGUAUUUCCUGAUGAAUCCAUGUAUUAUCACACUCUGAAAACCAUAAAUAUUUGAUGCAGCAAAUAUGUAGUUCCCCCAGGUGGCCUGACAUAGCUCAGUUUAUAAUGAAAGUCAUCGAACAGAAGAACCAGUCCUCUCUCUCUCUCUCUCUCUCCAACAAAUGACCUACUUUUUUUGGUUAAUCAGUCUGAAUUUUUUUGUACAAUCAUUCCUCAUAGGAGGUAGCAAGCAUGUCAUAACGCAUUCUGAUGCUUCCGGGCCAAAGUUAAUGGGCUUUACAGAUUUCUUUCCUCACUUUUGUCUGUCGAGCAGUUCAAGGUACCACCUAUGUAUCUCACAUAUUUGUGUAUUCUAUCUUUAGUAGAGCUGUUGCGUUGGUCUGCUUGUAACAUUCAGUCUUUGAUCACUACCACCUAUGUAUCUCACAUAUUUAUGCCUUCUAUCUUCAGUAGAGCUGCUGAGUUGGUCUGCUUGUAACAUUCAGUCUUUCAUCCCUGUGUUUUAAUAGUUCAAAUUGACAUCGGAAUCAUUACCAAAAGAUGAAUGACUAAAAGUUGAUCAAUCUCAGCGAGACACUUGAGGAAGAUCAACUUAUGAUGGAUCAAGAAGUAUUGUGUUUCUGAUCAUGCACUAUUCUCUUUUCUGAAACAUUGAAGGUUCCUGUUAUGUUUAUCAACAUCAUGGCUCCUGUUCAUUUGCUGUGUUGACUUGCAUCUCUUUUCUCAGUCCAAUGGUUUGUUGUUGCAUGCCACCUGUCUGUAGAUGAAUAUACAUUUCUGCACAUUCAUUAUGCUAUGAUAUGGACAUAUGAUUUGAUAGUACUUGUAUUAAGAUGUGAGAUGAAUAUCCAUUGUGAGUUUAUUUCUACUA